rnacentral:rRNA from 1 species
ACGGGGGGUGCAAGCGUUGUUCGGAAUUAUUGGGCGUAAAGAGCGUGUAGGCGGCUGAAUAAGUCAGAUGUGAAAUCCCUGGGCUUAACCCAGGAAGUGCAUUUGAAACUAUUCAGCUUGAGUAGGGGAGAGGAAAGUGGAAUUCCUGGUGUAGGGGUGAAAUUCGUAGAUAUCAGGAGGAACACCUGUGGCGAAGGCGACUUUCUGGGCCUGUUCUGACGGUGAGGGGCGAGAGCGUGGGUAGCAAACAG